UGGGGAAUAUUGGACAAUGGGCGCAAGCCUGAUCCAGCAAUGCCGCGUGUGUGAAGAAGGCCUUCGGGUUGUAAAGCACUUUCAGUCUUGAAAAAGGGGUUAUGGCUAACAUCCAUGACCAUUGAUAUUAGAGACAGAAGAAGCACCGGCUAACUCUGUGCCAGCAGCCGCGGUAAUACAGAGGGUGCGAGCGUUAAUCGGAAUUACUGGGCGUAAAGGGUGCGUAGGUUGUUGCGUAAGUUAAUUGUGAAAGUCCUGGGCUUAACCUGGGGAUUGCAGUUAAUACUGCGUAACUAGAGUGUUGUAGAGGUAAGCGGAAUUUCCGGUGUAGCGGUGAAAUGCGUAGAUAUCGGAAGGAACAUCGAUGGCGAAGGCAGCUUUCUGGACAACGACUGACACU
rnacentral:rRNA from 1 species